rnacentral:tRNA from 1 species
ACGAUAUUAUCUGAUUGGCAAGAAUUCACAACAAGUUGUUCUUUAGUAAGAUGUUUAAAACGGGUCUAUAGCUCAGUUGGUUAGAGCACCGUGUUGAUAACGCGGGGGUCAUAAGUUCAAGUCUUAUUAGACCCACCAUUAACAAAUGGGGUUAUAGCUCAGUUGGUAGAGCGCCUGCCUUGCACGCAGGAGGUCAGGAGUUCGACUCUCCUUAACUCCACCAUUAUUAAACAUCAAAAGCAUACAUAAGCAAUUUAAAUAAGAUUUCUUAUUUAUGCUUUAACUUUAUAAACUGACGAAGUUUAUAUCACUAUUUAACAACGUAUAUAUGAGUCUGGGUUAAUUAUUUAUUUCCAACAAAAUAAUUAACCAAAGUAAAGAGAACUGAAUCAAGCGUAAACAUAGGUAAAUCGUUACACAUUACCCUUAUGACACCAAGACUACUUGGGGUUGUAUGGUCAAGUAAUGAAGUGCACAUGGUGGAUGCCU